UGGAUUUCGGCAUCAAUGUCAGCCCUUGUGAAAAGAUAAGUGCCCAAUGGUUCCCAAGCAGUUAUCUUUUCACACGGGCUGACAUUGAUGCUGAAAUCU